rnacentral:rRNA from 1 species
UACGGGGGGGCAAGCGUUGUUCGGAAUUACUGGGCGUAAAGGGUUUGUAGGUGGCCCGCUAAGUCACACGUGAAAUCCCUCAGCUUAACUGGGGAACUGCGUGUGAGACUGGCAGGCUCGAGGGCAGGAGAGGAACGCGGAAUUCCAGGUGUAGCGGUGAAAUGCGUAGAUAUCUGGAGGAACACCGGUGGCGAAGGCGGCGUUCUGGACUGUCUCUGACACUGAAGAACGAAAGCCAGGGGAGCAAACGGG